UGAACUUUCGAACUAACCCAA
rnacentral:piRNA from 1 species